CCUCUUUGACAUGCUGCUAAGAGGAAGGAAGACAGCUCCUGUGUGGACUCAGAAGACGCAACUGGUGUGGGACACUAUUUCCCACAGAACGGCAAUCUAUCUGUGGAGGUGAAGGCGUGGUCGAAAAUUUGCAUACGAAUCCAGUGCCGAAAUAGAAUCUGUCCAUUUGUCCCAGGGCUUGAACCUUGGUUCACAGAAUGAGAGUGCGAGAGUGUAAGAUGUCAACUCAAACUCUCAAGGUGUCACAGCGGAUGAUGUUUGCCAACGUACUCUUGCACGGCCACACCUGCUGGCCUCCCUAAAACUGGGAGUUGUGAGUUCAAACCCCGGCCGAGUCAUACCAAAGACUACAAAAAAUGCGAACCAUUGCCUCCCUGCUUGGCACUCAGCAUCAAAGGUUGGAAUUGGGGGCUAAAUCACCAAAUGAUUCCCGAGCGUGGCGCACGCUGCUGCUCACUGCUCUCCUCACCCCCCAGGGGGUGAACAUGUGGAUUGGUCAAAUGCAGAGGACAGAUCUCACUACACCCAGUGUGUGUGUGUGACAAUCGUUGGGACUUUAACUUUAACUUGAAUUUUUGUGUUAAAAGGGACCCAAUAGUGAUUUUAUGAUGACUUUGUGGUCCAGAUAGUUGUGGUGUAUAUUUUGCUCCAAACUCCCUUUUACGACCGGUUUUGGAAUUGGUCUGCAAGAUCUUCCCAGAUUGCAAAUGAAACCAAUCCCAAAAAGUACUUAUCUUUUGCAAAAGUACACUGUUUAAAUAUAUGUAUCGGCGUCGUCACGACGAUUUUUUUUCAAUACACAGUUGAAAAUACUUCCACCUCGCGGUAACAUCACGGUGUAGCCAGACCGCAAAGCCCAGACAACAGAGCCGUCCAAAAUUGCGUGCAAGCUCACGCCAAAAUACAUGAACGGCCACGCCCUGAUAGUGUUUUGUACUCAUGGUUGCUUUUUGUCUGUGUUUUAUUUGUUUAGUUCCUUGUGCACAGGCAUCCACACCUGCUGCCUGAUUGGCAACCGAGACACACCUGCCCCCGGUUGCCAAUCAGUCUCCUAUUUUUGUCCGGUUGAUUGCCAUUUGCACCUCUCUGCUCUGCCAAUGUGCAUUGCUUUGCUUCCUGGACAAGUGAUGUUGCGUCUCUUGCGCAAUCCCGUUUGCACUGGACUUCUUUUUUUUUUUUUUUACCUUUUUCCGAGGCGCGUGUUUUCCACUUCCUUGUGAGUGCGCU